UACGUAGGGACCGAGCGUUGUCGGGAAUCAUUGGGCGUAAAGAGCGUGUAGGCGGCCCCUUAAGUCCUGCGUGAAAUCCUGCGGCUCAACCGCAGACGGUCGUGGGAAACUGGAGGGCUAGAGUGCGGGAGAGGAGAGUGGAAUUCCCGGUGUAGCGGUGAAAUGCGCAGAUAUCAGGAGGAACACCAAUUGCGAAGGCAGCUCGCUGGGACGUUACUGACGCUGAGACGCGAAAGCGUGGGGAGCAAACAGG
rnacentral:rRNA from 1 species